rnacentral:tRNA from 1 species
ACAGAAAAUAGUUUAAUAAAAACAUUAAUUUUGGAUAUUAAAAAUAGACACCUUUUUCUG